rnacentral:rRNA from 1 species
GACGAACGCUGGCGGCGCGCCUAACACAUGCAAGUCGAACGAGCGAGAGGAGGUUUACUUUCUCAAGCGAGUGGCGAACGGGUGAGUAACGCGUGAGGAACCUGCCUCAAAGAGGGGGACAACAGUUGGAAACGACUGCUAAUACCGCAUAAGCCCACGACCCGGCAUCGGGUAGAGGGAAAAGGAGCAAUCCGCUUUGAGAUGGCCUCGCGUCCGAUUAGCUAGUUGGUGAGGUAAUGGCCCACCAAGGCGACGAUCGGUAGCCGGACUGAGAGGUUGAACGGCCACAUUGGGACUGAGACACGGCCCAGACUCCUACGGGAGGCAGCAGUGGGGAAAAUUGCACAAUGGGGGAAACCCUGAUGCAGCGACGCCGCGUGGAGGAAGAAGGUCUUCGGAUUGUAAACUCCUGUUGUUGAGGAAGAUAAUGACGGUACUCAACAAGGAAGUGACGGCUAACUACGU